AUGCCCGCGUGCACACCGAGCUCGCCGCCGACUAGGACCAUGUCCUGGACCUCCGUUGCGCCCAGCUACAUCACCCACGACGACCAGCUCGAGCUCAACCCCCCUGUAUCGAGCGGAUCGACCGCGAAUUCAUCCUCGAUGCCCGCCACUCAUCACUGUCGAUCUCCACCGCCGGCGCCUCCCCGAUCUCUCGAGCUCGUCAACAAGGACCGCUACCCCGAGACCGAUGCUGCCCCUGUGAUCGACUACGUCGACGACGACCCCUCCUUGCCAGAGCAACCAGAUAUCGGAGCCCAGGAGCCAGAUGCCAUCGUCGAUGCCUACUACUACGUGUAG
rnacentral:rRNA from 1 species